GCCGGAUUAGCUCAGUCGGUAGAGCACCCGCCUUGUAAGCGGAAGAUCGUCGGUUCGAUCCCGACAUCCGGCUCCA
rnacentral:tRNA from 1 species